rnacentral:rRNA from 1 species
GAAAGGCCCUUCGGGGUACUCGAGUGGCGAACGGGUGAGUAACACGUGGGUGAUCUGCCCUGCACUUUGGGAUAAGCCUGGGAAACUGGGUCUAAUACCGAAUAGGACCGCAUGCUUCAUGGUGUGUGGUGGAAAGCUUUUGCGGUGUGGGAUGGGCCCGCGGCCUAUCAGCUUGUUGGUGAGGUAAUGGCUUACCAAGGCGACGACGGGUAGCCGGCCUGAGAGGGUGACCGGCCACACUGGGACUGAGAUACGGCCCAGACUCCUACGGGAGGCAGCAGUGGGGAAUAUUGCACAAUGGGCGCAAGCCUGAUGCAGCGACGCCGCGUGAGGGAUGACGGCCUUCGGGUUGUAAACCUCUUUCGCCAGGGACGAAGCGCAAGUGACGGUACCUGGAGAAGAAGGACCGGCCAACUACGUGCCAGCAGCCGCGGUAAUACGUAGGGUCCGAGCGUUGUCCGGAAUUACUGGGCGUAAAGAGCUCGUAGGUGGUUUGUCGCGUUGUUCGUGAAAACUCACAGCUUAACUGUGGGCGUGCGGGCGAUACGGGCAGACUUGAGUACUGCAGGGGAGACUGGAAUUCCUGGUGUAGCGGUGGAAUGCGCAGAUAUCAGGAGGAACACCGGUGGCGAAGGCGGGUCUCUGGGCAGUAACUGACGCUGAGGAGCGAAAGCGUGGGGAGCGAACAGGAUUAGAUACCCUGGUAGUCCACGCCGUAAACGGUGGGUACUAGGUGUGGGUUUCCUUCCUUGGGAUCCGUGCCGUAGCUAACGCAUUAAGUACCCCGCCUGGGGAGUACGGCCGCAAGGCUAAAACUCAAAGAAAUUGACGGGGGCCCGCACAAGCGGCGGAGCAUGUGGAUUAAUUCGAUGCAACGCGAAGAACCUUACCUGGGUUUGACAUGCACAGGACGCCGGCAGAGAUGUCGGUUCCCUUGUGGCCUGUGUGCAGGUGGUGCAUGGCUGUCGUCAGCUCGUGUCGUGAGAUGUUGGGUUAAGUCCCGCAACGAGCGCAACCCUUGUCUCAUGUUGCCAGCACGUUAUGGUGGGGACUCGUGAGAGACUGCCGGGGUCAACUCGGAGGAAGGUGGGGAUGACGUCAAGUCAUCAUGCCCCUUAUGUCCAGGGCUUCACACAUGCUACAAUGGCCGGUACAAAGGGCUGCGAUGCCGUGAGGUGGAGCGAAUCCUUUCAAAGCCGGUCUCAGUUCGGAUCGGGGUCUGCAACUCGACCCCGUGAAGUCGGAGUCGCUAGUAAUCGCAGAUCAGCAACGCUGCGGUGAAUACGUUCCCGGGCCUUGUACACACCGCCCGUCACGUCAUGAAAGUCGGUAACACCCGAAGCCGGUGGCCUAACCCCUUGUGGGA